GACAGAGGAUGCAAGCGUUAUCCGGAAUGAUUGGGCGUAAAGCGUCUGUAGGUGGCUUUUUAAGUCCGCCGUCAAUCCCAGGCUCAACCCUGGACAGGCGGUGGAACUACCAAGCUGGAGUACGGUAGGGCAGAGGGAAUUUCCGGUGGAGCGGUGAAAUGCGUAGAGAUCGGAAAGAACACCAACGGCGAAAGCACUCUGCUGGGCCGACACUGACACUGAGAGACGAAAGCUAGGGGAGCGAAUGGG
rnacentral:rRNA from 1 species